rnacentral:rRNA from 1 species
UACGGAGGGUGCAAGCGUUGUCCGGAUUUAUUGGGUUUAAAGGGUGCGUAGGCGGCCCGUUAAGUCAGUGGUGAAAGCCUCCAGCUCAACUGGAGAACUGCCAUUGAUACUGACGGGCUUGAGUACAGACGAGGUAGGCGGAAUUGAUUGUGUAGCGGUGAAAUGCAUAGAUACAAUCAAGAACUCCGAUUGCGUAGGCAGCUUACUAGGCUGUAACUGACGCUGAGGCACGAAAGCGUGGGGAGCAAACAGG